AGCAGCCGCGGUAAUUCCAGCUCCAAUAGCGUAUAUUAAAGUUGUUGCAGUUAAAAAGCUCGUAGUUGAAUUUCGGGAUCAAAUUGUCGGUCGUGCCUCGGUACGUACUGGCGCUAUUGGUUCCUCCCUUCUGAAGAACCGCGAUGUCAUUAAUUUGGUGUCGCGGGGAAUCAGGGACUGUUACUUUGAAAAAAUUAGAGUAGUUUAAAGCAGGCUCGCGCUUGGAUACAUUAGCAUGGAAUAAUGAAAUAGGACGUUUGAUUCUAUUUUGUUGGUUUCUAGGAUCGACGUAAUGAUUAAUAGGGAUAGUUGGGGGCAUUAGUAUUCAAUUGUCAGAGGUGAAAUUCUUGGAUUUAUUGAAGACUAACUACUGCGAAAGCAUUUGCCAAGGAUGUUUUCAUUAAUCAAGAACGAAAGUUAGGGGAUCGAAGACGAUCAGAUACCGUCGUAGUCUUAACCAUAAACUAUGCCGACUAGGGAUCGGAUGAUGUUAAUUUUUAAUGACUCAUUCGGCGCCUUA
rnacentral:rRNA from 1 species